rnacentral:rRNA from 1 species
GACGAACGCUGGUGGCGUGCUUAACACAUGCAAGUCGAACGGGAUUUCGUAAACAGAAGCCUCGGUGGAGGAUUACUAAUGAGAGUGGCGAACGGGUGAGUAACGCGUGAGCAACCUGCCUAUGACAGUGGGAUAGCCUCGGGAAACCGGGAUUAAUACCGCAUAAAAUCGUAGAAACACAUGUUUUAACGGUCAAAGAUUUAUCGGUCAUAGAUGGGCUCGCGUCUGAUUAGCUAGUUGGUGAGAUAACAGCCCACCAAGGCGACGAUCAGUAGCCGGUCUGAGAGGAUGAACGGCCACAUUGGAACUGAGACACGGUCCAAACUCCUACGGGAGGCAGCAGUGGGGAAUAUUGCACAAUGGGGGAAACCCUGAUGCAGCGACGCCGCGUGAACGAAGAAGGUAUUCGUAUCGUAAAGUUCUGUCCUAUGGGAAGAUAAUGACAGUACCAUAGAAGAAAGCUCCGGCUAAAUACGUG